rnacentral:rRNA from 1 species
GAUGAACGCUGGCGGCGUGCCUAAUACAUGCAAGUCGAGCGAACAGACGAGGAGCUUGCUCCUCUGACGUUAGCGGCGGACGGGUGAGUAACACGUGGAUAACCUACCUAUAAGACUGGGAUAACUUCGGGAAACCGGAGCUAAUACCGGAUAAUAUAUUGAACCGCAUGGUUCAAUAGUGAAAGACGGUUUUGCUGUCACUUCUAGAUGGAUCCGCGCCGCUUUAGCUAGUUGGUAAGGUAACGGCUUACCAAGGCAACGAUGCGUAGCCGACCUGAGAGGGUGAUCGGCCACACUGGAACUGAGACACGGUCCAGACUCCUACGGGAGGCAGCAGUAGGGAAUCUUCCGCAAUGGGCGAAAGCUUGACGGAGCAACGCCGCGUGAGUGAUGAAGGUCUUCGGAUCGUAAAACUCUGUUAUUAGGGAAGAACAAAUGUGUAAGUAACUAUGCACGUCUUGACGGUACCUAAUCAGAAAGCCACGGCUAACUACGUG